UACGAGGGGGCUAGCGUUGUUCGGAAUCACUGGGCGUAAAGCGCACGUAGGCGGAUUGUUAAGUCGGGGGUGAAAUCCUGAGGCUCAACCUCAGAACUGCCUUCGAUACUGGCAAUCUCGAGUCCGGAAGAGGUUGGUGGAACAGCUAGUGUAGAGGUGAAAUUCGUAGAUAUUAGCUAGAACACCAGUGGCGAAGGCGGCCAACUGGUCCGGUACUGACGCUGAGGUGCGAAAGCGUGGGGAGCAAACAGG
rnacentral:rRNA from 1 species